UGGGGGAGUGUCCCGAGUGGCAAAGGGAGCUGACUGUAAAUCAGCCGCCGUAUGGCUUCGAAGGUUCGAGUCCUUCUUCCCCCACCAU
rnacentral:tRNA from 1 species